GAUGAACGCUGGCGGCGUGCCUAAUACAUGCAAUUCGAGCGAACAGACGAGGAGCUUGCUCCUCUGACGUUAGCGGCGGACGGGUGAGUAACACGUGGAUAACCUACCUAUAAGACUGGGAUAACUUCGGGAAACCGGAGCUCAUACCGUAUAAUAUAUUUAACCGCAUGGUUCAAUAGUGAAAGACGGUUUUGCUGUCACUUAUCGAUGGAUCCGCGCCGCAUUAGCUAGUUGGUAAGGUAACGGCUUACCAAGGCAACGAUGCGUAGCCGACCUGAGAGGCUGAUCGGCCACACUGGAACUGAGACACGGUCCAGACGCCUACGGGAGGCAGCAGUAGGGAAUCUUCCGCAAUGGGAGAAAGCCUGACGGAGCAACGACGCGUGAGUGAUGAAGGUCUUCGGAUCGUAAAACUCUGUUAUUAGGGAAGAACAAAUGUGUAAGUAAAUAUGCACGUCUUGACGGUACCGAAUCAGAAAGCCACGGCUAACUACGUG
rnacentral:rRNA from 1 species